rnacentral:rRNA from 1 species
UGGCGACCGGCGCACGGGUGAGUAACACGUAUCCAACCUGCGGAUGACUCGGGGAUAGCCUUUCGAAAGAAAGAUUAAUACCCGAUGGCAUAGUUCUUCCGCAUGGUGGAACUAUUAAAGAAUUUCGGUCAUCGAUGGGGAUGCGUUCCAUUAGGUUGUUGGCGGGGUAACGGCCCACCUAGGCGACGAUGGGUAGCCGGACUGAGAGGUUGACCGGCCACAUUGGGACUGAGAUACGGCCCAGACUCCUACGGGAGGCAGCAUG